UAAGGAAUAUUGGUCAAUGGGGGCAACUCUGAACCAGCCAUGCCGCGUGAAGGAUUAAGGCCCUCUGGGUUGUAAACUUCUUUUAUAUGGGAAGAGAUGUUCUGAUUCUUCAGAGCUUGACGGUACCAUAGGAAUAAGCACCGGCUAACUCCGUGCCAGCAGCCGCGGUAAUACGGAGGGUGCAAGCGUUAUCCGGAUUCACUGGGUUUAAAGGGUGCGUAGGUGGGCAGAUAAGUCAGUGGUGAAAUCUUCCGGCUUAACCGGGAAACUGCCGUUGAUACUAUUUGUCUUGAAUAUUGCGGAGGUAAGCGGAAUAUGUCAUGUAGCGGUGAAAUGCUUAGAUAUGACAUAGAACACCAAUUGCGAAGGCAGCUUACUACACAAUCAUUGACACUGAGGCACGAAAGCGUGGGUAGCGAACA
rnacentral:rRNA from 1 species